rnacentral:lncRNA from 1 species
UUAUAGGGAAUUCAGUUGAUUUGUCCUGGUUAGAAAGCACUUUGUUCACACCUAUACUUAUGACUACUAGGUUAUGGGUUCUUCUGGAGUCUUCUGAACCUGCUGGGCAUUUCUGACUGGAUGAAAAUUAACAAAAGUCCAUGUUCAUCCUGAUGAAAAUUAGCAGCAGUUCAUCUUAGUUUAAUUGCCACAACGUGCAGCUAUGAGAAGGCUGAUAAAGAAAACUCAAAUCUUACAAAAAUCUAUCAGCAUAAAAGGACAAGAGCUUUACAAGAUAGAUAAGAGAAAAAAAUAAUUUGCCAAACCUUGGGGCAGGUUCUGAGGGAGAAUGUACAACUUUACUUCGAUGGCAGGAAUAUAUUUGCUGGAUGAAAAAAAAAAAUCCUGCCUUGGCAUCAUGGGUACUGUUUGUAGCCUACAACUUGAGGUUUUUGCACUGGGAACUGAAAAAGUUAUCAGUGUUAAUAAAAAGAAGUUUUCCUGA